AUCCAGAUGACGAGUUCCAAUUAGGACGAAAUGCCCGUUAUCCUGGAU
rnacentral:hammerhead_ribozyme from 1 species